rnacentral:rRNA from 1 species
GCGUAAUAGCUCACUGGUCGAGUCGGCCCGCGCGGAAGAUGUAACGGGGCUAAACCAUGCACCGAAGCUGCGGCAGCGAACGUAUCACUUAAAUUUGUUUAAGUGAGAAACGAUUGACGGAACGAAGAGACGUCAAUGCGUCCAUAAAAGUCGAGGCGAAAGUCCGAUAAGCGAAUUUAAGGAUACGUUCGUUGGGUAGGGGAGCGUUCUGUAAGCCUGCGAAGGUGUACUGUGAGGUAUGCUGGAGGUAUCAGAAGUGCGAAUGCUGACAUAAGUAACGAUAAUGCGGGUGAAAAACCCGCACGCCGGAAGACC